AGCGAACGCUGGCGGCGUACUUAACACAUGCAAGUCGAACGGGGAUCGACACGUGAGCAAUCACGUGGCGGUCUUAGUGGCGUACGGGUGAGUAACACGUGGGCAACCUGCCCUUGAGUCUGGGAUAACCUCCCGAAAGGGAGGCUAAUACCGGAUACGGUCCUCGGGUCGCGAGAUCUGAGGAAGAAAGGUGGCGCAAGCUACCGCUCUUGGAGGGACUCGCGGCCUAUCAGCAGUUGGUGAGGUAACGGCUCACCAAGGCUAUGACGGGUAGCUGGUCUGAGAGGACGACCAGCCACACGGGGACUGA
rnacentral:rRNA from 1 species